GUGAGGAAUAUUGGUCAAUGGGCGGGAGCCUGAACCAGCCAAGUCGCGUGAAGGAAGAAGGAUCUAUGGUUCGUAAACUUCUUUUGCAGGGGAAUAAAGUGCAGGACGUGUCCUGUUUUGUAUGUACCCUGAGAAUAAGGAUCGGCUAACUCCGUGCCAGCAGCCGCGGUAAUACGGAGGAUCCGAGCGUUAUCCGGAUUUAUUGGGUUUAAAGGGUGCGUAGGUGGUUUGAUAAGUCAGCGGUGAAAGUUUGCAGCUUAACUGUAAAAAUGCCGUUAAAACUGUCGGACUUGAGUGUAAAUGAGGUAGGCGGAAUGCGUGGUGUAGCGGUGAAAUGCAUAGAUAUCACGCAGAACUCCGAUUGCGAAGGCAGCUUACUAAGCUACAACUGACACUGAAGCACGAAAGCGUGGGGAUCAAACAGGAUUAGAUACCCGGGUAGUCC
rnacentral:rRNA from 1 species